AAUACACAAUAGAGUGUAUAACUAAUGCAAACAUUAAUUAUACAUAGGAUGCAAAAGUAUACCAAACAAGGUAUUAGUAAUACACAUUAACCUAAUGCAUGCAUUAAUUUUUCAAUACACUCUUUCAAACGGCCCCUAAGGGGGUUCACAAGUGAACAUACGAAUUAAUCGAAGGGGGUUUACCAUCUAUUAUAUAUAUAUACAUAAAAAUAUAAUUUUAGCCAUGUAAAUAUAGUAUAAUUUUUCGUCGAAGGGGGUUUAUCCGAACCCCCUAUUUAAUGGGUAGCUCCGCCCCUGCACCUUAGGUGGUUCGAGCACCACUCCACAAAAAUGUAUUUUUAUACUUAUUGUCAUAGUCGAGUUUUAAGAAUUUUCACAUUCUAGUGAUAUGCAUAACUUGGUUGAUGUCCGUGACAAUACAAAUGCAACAACUAAUUUAUGUGUAUCAAAUACAGUAUACAUGCAUUCAAAUAUGGUAUCUGAAUUUGGAACUUGCCGAUUCUCACAUUAACACUUAAACUACUACAACAACAACAACAACAACAUAAUACUAGUGUUAUUCCAUAAGCGGGGUCUUGGGAGAGUAGUGUGUACGCAAACCUUACCCCUACCUCCUGUUUUCAGUAGACCCUUAGCUUAAGAAAAAACAUAACAAAGCAAUCCGGGAAAUGAAAUACUAGAAAUGUAGAAGCGACGACAAAAUACUAAAGAUAACAUGACAAAACAUUCUCACGAAAAGGAACAGUGUCUGCGACAAAAUAAUACUAUAAUUGAAGUACACGAAAUAACAAAUAAUAAUAGAAAUUGAAGUACAAGAAACUACAAGAGUAUUGUUUCAAUUCCUAGCAUGUAAGGUUAAGAAAUACAAGACUCAACUACCUACUAGCCUUAUACUCCAAUUCGUGUCCUUCAUAGUCUCCUAUCUAAGAUCUUGUCCUGGGCAAGUUGAAGUUGAGCCAUGUCCUGCCUAAUCACCUCUUUUCUUGAUACUUCUUCGGCCUACCUUUACCUCUCCUAACACCUUCCAUAGCCGGCUCUAAAUUGGGACAUUCAUUCAUCUCUUCUUUACAUGCUUGAACCAUCUCAGUCUCGCUUCCUCGCUUCCUGCUUCUUAUCCGCUCCAAAGCUUGGGUAGCUUCGACCUUAGCCGAUGGAGCUUCCUUGACCUUAUUUUUGGCGCUAAUCCUGGAUAGUUCAUCAGCACUGUGAAUGUACUUAGAAACAAUGGUAGCAACGACCACUAAUUGUUUAGCCAAAUAGAGGUUAAUUUCAAUGACGUUAUCAUGAUUGGGAGUAGCAAAGAAGUAAGUGAAAUUAGGGUUUGAACAAGGAGGGCACAAGUAACCUUGGGAGGAGGAAGCAACAUCAGGGAUGCAAGAGAGGGGUGAGAUAGAGUUGCAUUUUGAGCAUUGGAUACCGAUGUGAGGGUUGUGGAGGAAGAUAUCAAAGCAGAUGGGGCAGAAGGAACCUGGGUGGGAGUCGAGUACACAUGUAGUGCAAAGAUGGCGGUAGACACCUUUGUAGGGGAGAUGGUGGAGGAUGAAGGGGCAUUUGACGAAGCAAGCUGCACAUUCACGGCCUUCCAAUGGCUGCUCCUCCACUUGCUGCGGCAUCAAAACUAGCAAUUUUCUCUAACCCUAAUGGGCUAUCGUAAUAUCAAGUUUAUUUGUAAGGACUGAUAUAAAAGAGUUGUUUAGAUUCUAAGUAUCCAGCCCCCUCUUUUGUUUUUUAUUUACUCUACAUGCAUUUAUGACUGAAAUAAAUACAUAUAUCCUUUAUUACAUGGAAAUCAUUAGCACAUAACACUCAUCCAUGCAAUUUGGGAAAAUUUUCUUAAGAGAGUUGUUAAUGUUAAUAUAUAACUCAUUCAAUUGUCAUACUUGCAAUUUGGAAAAUUCAAGUUCCACCAAUAUUUGGCUGAGUUUCCUUUGCAAGGUCGGAGAUGUUUGAAGAGUUCCAGAUUAAUGUGUGAAACUUUUGAGUUUUAGAUGCCUUCAUUAAUGAAUCUAAACGAUUUUAUAUCAGUCCUUAUUAACUUGCUCUCAUAUAUCUUGAGAGAAAAUGGGCCUCUCAUCAUGGGCUAUGAAAUUUACUAGACAAAUCUUUGAAAUCUUAAUAUAGUGGAGGAAACUAGAAUGGAAAGUAAAAGAUAUUGCAUUCUUUUACUUGCCAUUUUAUAUCUUCUCCGGAAAAAUCGGGCUAGAGAUAUGCAGCGUGUUAGCUGCACGCGUUAGUUUUGUUCCACUAGAUGUCAUUACUUACUGAAUACUCUCCUCUUGGCUUUUGUAAAUUUAUCAUGUAUACAUCAGCUAUGAGACAUUUUGGUUCAAGUUGACAUGGAAUUAAUUAUUUGGUCAAGUUGUAUAUACUCCCUCCGCUCCAUUUUCUGUGGCGUCAUUUGACUUAACACAGAGUUUAAGAAAUAAUGAAAGACUUUUGAAACUUGUGGGUGAAAACAAUCCUUUGAUAUUUGUGUGGCUGUAAAUAUUUUUUCAUGGUUAAAUCACUUCAUUAAGGGUAAAAAAGGAAUUUUAAAGUUAAAUGGAUACUAAUUAUAGCAAGCUGACAUUUUUUUUGUGUCAGACUAUAAAGAAAAGUACACCACAUAAAAUGGGACGGAGAGAGUAGUGAAUAGUUCAAGAAAAUGUUGCAUCUAUUGUAUGGGACUCGAAACUGGCCUAUGUUCCAGAUUGGAAGCUUUAUAGAACAAUGUCUCUCCAAAAUGCUACCAUUGUUUCUAAGUACGAUAGACCAUUAGGGUUAGAGAAGAUUGUUAGUUCUGAUGCUGCAGCAAGUGGAGGAGCAACCAUUGGAAGGCCGUGAAUGUGCAGUUUGCUUCGUCAAACGCCCUUGCAUCCUCCACCAUCUCCCCUACAGAGGUGUCUACCGCCAUCUUUGCACUGCAUGGGUACUCGACUCCUACCCAGGUUCCUUCUGCCCUAUCUGCUUUGAUAUCUUCCUCGACAACCCUCCUCCCCCUCACCUCUGUAUCCAAUGCUCAAAAUGCACCUCUAUCUCACACCUCUCUUGCAUCCCUGAUGUUGAUUCCUUCCCCCCCCAAGGUUACUUGUGCCCUCCUUGUUCAAACCCUAAUUUCACUUCUUUGCUACUCCCAAUCAUGAUAACGUCAUUGAAAUUAAUCGCCAUUUGGCUAAACAAUUGGUGAUCGCUGCUACCAUUGUUUCUGAGUACAUUCACAGUGCCGAUGAACGAGCCAAGAUUAGCGCAAAAAAUAAGGUCAAGGAAGCUCCAUCGACUAAGGUCUAAGCUACCCAAGCUUUGGAGAGGAUAAAAAGCAGGAAGCGAGACUGAGAUGGUUCGAGCAUGUGAAGAAGAGAUGAACUAAUGUCCCAAUUUAGAGCCGGCUAUGGAAGGUGUCAGGAGAGGUAGAGGUAGGCCGAAGAAGUAUUGGAAAGAGAGGUGAUUAGACACGACAUGGCUCAACAUCAGCUCACCGAGGACAAGAUCUUAGAUAGGAGACUAUGGAGGACACGAAUAAGGGUAUAAGACCAAUACGUAGUUGAGUGUUGUGUCUCUUAACCUUACAUUCUAGUAAUUGUAGCAAUAUUCGUGUAGUUUCUUAUUCUUCGAUUUCUAUUACUAUCAGUUAUUUCUUGUACUUUAAUUGUAGUAUUAUUUUGUUGUAGAGGCUUUUCCUUUUUCUUCAGAAUGCGUUAUGUAUUUUUUAGUAUUUUGUCAUGGCUUCUACACUUCUGGUACUCCUUUUCCCGGACUGCCUUUUUUUUCCUUAGCUGGAUACAUGGGGUAGGGGCAAGGUUUGCACACGCACUACACUCCCAAGACCCCAUUUGUGGAAUUAUACUGAGUAUGUUGUUGUUGUUGCUGCUAUCAUAUUAAGUGUUAUGUGAGAAGUGGUAAGUUCCAAAUUCAGAUAACAUAUUUGAAGAACCCAUGUGUAUUGUAUUUGAUACAAAUAAAUUAGUUGUUGUAUUUUCACAUCCAUCAACCAAGUUAUGCAAUUCACUGGGAUGUGAAAAUUCUUAAAAUUCGACUAUGGCAUACAGUAUGAAAAUACUUUUUCUUUGGGAAGUUGCUUUGGCCAUCUAGGACGCACCUCAAUAAAUCCAUGACCAGACUGGUACAACCUACAAGAUUAAGCUUUGGAUACACCUACCCACCAAGAUUGAAACAAAUUUGCGCAAAUCUAUUGAAGUAGCUGGAUUAAAACUUGGGAUCUCUACUUGACUGCAGCAUAAAGUGCAAAAGCGAUUCUUUUGCACGAGAAAAUAGUAAGCCUCAAUUGCUUUUUAUGUGAAGAUGGUAUUUAGACUUUGUAUGAAAUGAGAUGAACCACAGUAAGUUCUCUAUAGCUGACAAAACAAGACAGACAUAUCAACUUAGGAACUAUAAAAAGAGAAGUUGCACCUUGGUAUGGUCUAGCUGUCAAUAAAGUAGGUUGAAAACAAUAGGAGAUGAGCCAUAUAAGGUGGCUCGUUCCACUUGGUUAGCUGCUAGAGAAGCUCUUUUGACUCAGGAAAACUUUAGACAGAGGCAUAUAACUUUGUUCAAGACGUUAUCUCUUGUGUGGACAAGAGACAGAGACAAUUAACCAUCCUCAGUUGAGGCAAAAGUGUUUGGAAUAUUCCUAAGCCAUGGUGCCCCAACAACCUAGUACUGGUGCUAGUAUGAGGUACUUGGUACUUCGUGGCAUAGUUGUGGUGCGUGUAAGUUGGCCCACCAAUUACUGUUAUCCCAUUUUAAGGGAUUUAUUUUCUCAUACUGUAUGAAGUGAGAUAAGGUGAAAUUUCGGUUUGUCUCAUUCUUGAGAUCUAUAUUUUGGACAGCUUUUUCUUCAUAGCAGUGUUUAAAUGCUCGAAAGAACGGGUAGCUUAUCUGACCCUACCGUCUGCUGAUUAUGUUUGUGACAGGGCAGAGGUGAACACUUUGGCACCUACAUAAUGAAAAUUAUAGAUUUAGGCAAGGAAAAGGUCAGAGAGAUUUCAGAGGGAGUUUAAGGCUUCCAGGAAGGAAAUGUUUUGUAAUCAAAUACCGUGUUUUUUUCAUCCAUGAUAUACUAGCAUUCGAAGUUUUGCCUUAUAGCAUCUUUGAUCCAAAUUUCUGUUUUAUCAUGUGUUCUCUGUUUUCAAGGCCUUGAAACUGACAUUUUAAGAACUGGAUUUGAUUAGAUUGAUCAGCGAUUUUGGAGACACCUUAUCUUUUUUGCCUCUUCAAUGUUGCAUCAGCUGUUCACGCAUUUCAUAUUUGACGGUUUAUACUGUAAAUGCAUACGUCAUGGUGACUACCUCGGAGUAUUAUCUCCAUUAUCAGUGGCAUUCAUGAAUCUUCAUCAUACCUUACUCAACAUAUCUCUUCUAACAUGUUUUACAGUACUUUUUGUCAAAAAAAAAAAAAAGAAGCCUGUCAAGCCAGGUGAAGGAAGGAGUUGGCCUGGAAUCACUGUUUAAGGUGAGUAAUUUCAGAUAUUAAGUUAUCUUGCUUUGCUUUGAGCUGCAGUAUUGCAUCACGAACUGACGAUCUUAUGGUUAUGGAAAAGCAGAAAGGGGAAGGAACCCUCUGGUAGACAACGUACACAGAUCAUUUGUUUAUCAUUGCUGCGUUGAUUACCUUCUUCCUUGCUAAUAGCUUGGAAUAAUAGUUCAACAUGGUUUUGAUCAAUUUUCUUUUGUCACCUUUUACAAAAGAAUAGUUCAACUUAGUCUUUAAUAUUCGUCUUUCUUCAUUGAUAAGGUGCUUCUCUGGUCCACUCUUCUUGUCAGCUUGUCUACUUCCUGCAAAAGGAAAGAGCCAAAAUGUUUCUUUGUUUUGCUAGUUUUUCACCAGCUAUAUUGCUUUCAGACUCUUCAAAAAUGUUGCUAUGCCCGUGUCGGAUCUUCCAGAAAUGCACUACUUUUGGAGGAUCCGACAUGUGCUUGGCGGUAUUUUUGAUGAGUUUGAGCAACAUAGGUCACCACCCUGUGCUCUUGAAAAUCCCACUAUUCAUGAUCUGCAGGCUUUAAAGACUUCUUAGAAGUUCAAGAAUUAGGCUAUGGCUAAGGUGGAGGAAGCAGGAUGGAGGUGUGUCGUAACCAAGUUUCCCAGGAAUGGCUAUGCAUUGCCAGUCCCUUCAUCAGAUGCCGUUAAAUCCCAGAACAACUGACGGAAUCUUGGUAUGUCUGCAUUUUUGUUGGUGACCUCUUGCUGUGGGAUUCAAUGGAUGUAUUAUUAACAAUCUUGGGUCAAUUCAAUAUUAGCAGUGUAACUAUGAUACAAGGACAUUCUCAUCCUGUCAUUUAAAGUGAAGUCUGAAGAGAAACACUAAUUCUACUUUGGAGUUGGGGUUUGUUUAAUACAACUAAAGAGCACCUAAGGUCCUCGACCUCCUUCUAGGAAGAGUGUACAGGCAACCUAAGCCUCAGAGAUAACUAGUUACAAAGCAUGUUGAGAAACCAAGUACACCUCCUAGCUAAUUGUGACCCGCUAUACAUAUGAGUUCUCUCCAGAACAAGUUGUAUUUGCCGCAAAACAAAAUCUGUAUGUACACUGUCCCUUGAAGAUUUUCCCAUUCCGUGCCUGCCAUAUAUGUUAUAACAAAGCCCCAUAACUAGCAGCAACCACCUCUCUGUUAAACUUUCUCCUGUGUUCGUGUUUGUAUAGUCAUCUGCACAUCUUCCAGGUUGACAAUAAUACCAAGCCAUCCUGUGAGACCAUACCAUACCUCUUUGGACCAGUCACAUUCUGCAAAUAGGUGCCUAGCACACUUGUGAAAAGCACACACUUGUCAUCCUCAUAAAGCAGUCCCAAUCUUGCUAAUCUUUCCCUUGUGAAAAGCCUUUCCUGCACCGCAAUCCACAUUAGAAACCUGUGCUUAGGCAAUAACAAUUUGCUCCAAAUUAAUUCAGCUCCCUUAAAUGGAGAUCUCACUCCCUGCAAUGGAUUGUAGCUCAUGGAAACUGAAUACAUUCCAUUAGAGGUGAGAGUAUAUCUUUCCUGAUCAUACCAGCUAACCAUUCCCAGCUUGAUUUUGUUUAAGUGUUUCCAGUACCAACUGUGGCUUUUAGAAGGGUUAUGAGCCCAAAAAUCGUCAUCCCUCUCAUAUAAAAACUAUGCACCCAUUGUACCCAAAGCUGCUCCUUCAGGCCGAAGAAGUAUUGGAAAGAGAGGUGAUUAGACACGACAUGGCUCAACUUCAGCUCACCGAGGACAAGAUCUUAAGAUAGAAGGCUAGGAGGACACGAAUUGGGGUAUAAGGCCAAUAGGUAGUUGAGUGUUGUGUCUCUUAACCUUACAUUCUAGUAAUUUUAGCAAUACUCGUGUAGUUUCUUAUUCUUCGAUUUCUGUUAUUAUCUAUUAUUUUUGUACUUCAAUUAUAGUAUUAUUUUGUCACAGAGGCUGUUCCUUUCUCUUUAGAAUGCGUUGUCAUGUUAUCUUUAGUAUUUUGUCAUGGCUUCUACACUUCUGGUACUCUUUUUCCCGGACUGCUUUGUUAUGUUUUUUCUUAAGCUAAGGGUCUGCUGGAAACAUGAGGUAGGUGCAAGGUUUGCACACACACUAUCCUCCCAAGACCCCACUUGUGGAAUGACAUUGAGUAUGUUGUUGCUGGUACUAUUGUAGUAUUAAGUGUUAAUGUGAGAAGUGGUAAGUUCCAAAUUCUGCUACCAUAUUUGAAGAAUGCAUGUGUAUUGUAUUUGCUACAAAAUAAUUAGUUGUAUUGUGACAUCCAUCAACCAAGUUAUGCAAUUCACUAGGAUGUGAAAAUUCUUAAAACUCGACUAUGGCAUAAAGUAUGAAAAUACUUGUUUUUGUGGCAAGUUGCUCUGGCCAUCUAGGACGCACCUCAAUAAAUCCACGACCUGGAUGCUACAACCUACAAGAUUAAGCUUUGGAUAAACCUACCCACCAAGAUAGAAACAAAUUUGCACAAAUCUAUUGAAGUUGCUAAAUUAAAACUUGGGAUCUCUACUUGACUGCAGUAUAAAGCGCAAAAGCGAAUCUUUUGCACGAGCAAAUAGGAAGCCUCAAUUGCUUUUUAUAUGAAGAUGAAAUUUAAACUUUGUAUGAAAUGAGAUGAACCACAGUAAGUUCUCUAUAGCUGACAAAACAAGAUAGACAUAUCAACUUAGGAACUAUAAAAAGAAAGUUGAACCUUGGUAUGGUCUAGCUGUCAAUAAAGUUGGUUGAAAACAAUAGGAGAUGAGCCAUAUAAGAUGGAUCGUUCCACUUGGUUAGCUGCUAGAGUAGCUCUUUUGACUCGGGAAAACUUUAGAAAGAGGCAUAUAACUUUGUUCAAAACGUUAUCUGUGUGGACAAGAGACAAACAAUUAACCAUCUGUUUUUACAUUGUAAAAUCACUAGCCAACUAUGGGAUAUGUUCAUAAACUUGAAGGGUGUCAGAUGGUUAAUGCUAGACAGUACUGUUGAAGUUCUUGAAACCUGGAAUGACGGAGACAUUGGUAAUAGAGAUAGAUGGAAAAUUGUCCCAGCAACUAUUUGGUGGAUAAUUUGAAAAGGGAGGAACUGUAGAUGUUUUUUUUUUUACAAAAAUUGGGGGGAGGGGAAGGGGAAUAGGGGAGGGGAUUACAAUGUGGAGAAUCGAACCCUCACCAACAAGGUAAGAGUUCAGGUAACUAACUAACUAAGCUACUAAGAUUCCCCGAACUGUAGAUGUUUUGAAGAUACAAAUUGCAUGAAUAGGGGAGGGGAUUACAAUGUGGAGAAUCGAACCCUCACCAACAAGGUAGGAGUUCAGGUAACUAACUAACUAAGCUACUAAGAUUCCCCGAACUGUAGAUGUUUUGAAGAUACAAAUUGCACUUUACAAAAGAUCAAAUCAAACUAUAUUCUUAAUUCCUUUCUGUUUAAGUCUGAAUAUAUACGGAGUCAUGAUCUAAUUAUAGAAGUGUUAGGAUCCUUGUAAGAAGAGCAAGAAUGUUGUGAGUACCAUUUUGGAUUCCAGAACAAUUGUGCUUAUGUUUAUAUGUUUGUAUUCUAAAAACAAAUAGGAGAUGAGGGUUCUAUCUUCAGUUAAGGCAAAAGUGUUUGGAAUAUUCCUAAGCCAUGGUGGGCCAACAACCUAGUACUUGUGCUGGUGUGAGGUAGUUGGUACUUUGUGGCAUUGUUAUGGUGCAUGUAAAUUGGCCCACACACCACUGUUAUCCCAAUUUCAAGGUAUUUAUUUGCUCACACUGUAUGAAGUGAGAUGAGGUGAAAUUUCAGUUUCUCGCUUGAGACGUAUAUUUUGGAUUGAUCUUUCUCUAUAGCAGUGUUUACAUUUAAAAUGCACGUAAGAACGGGUAGCUUAUCCGACCUUACCAGAUGCUGACUGCGUUUGUGACACGGAAGAGGUGAAGACUUUGGCACCUGUUUGAUGAAAAUUAUGCUCAUGUAAAAGAAUCGCUUUUGCAAUUUAUGCUGCAGUCAAGUAGAGACCCCAAGUUUUAAUUCAGCUACAACAAUAGAUGUGCGCAAAUUUGUUUCAAUCUUAGUGGAUAGGUUUAUCCAAUGCUUAAUCUUGCAGGUUAUAGCAGUCUGGUCGUGGAUUUAUUGAGGUGCGCCCUAGAUGGCCAGAACAUCACUGUAGGGAAAAAGUAUUUCUUAUACUUUAUGCCAUAGUCGAGUUUUAAGAAUUAUCACAUCCCAGUGAGUUGCGUAACUUGGUUGACUGAUGUGACAAUACAACUACAACUACUAAUUUAUAUAGAUCAAAUACAAUACACAUGCGUUCUUCAAAUAUGGUAUCUGAAUUUGGAACUUACCGCUUUUCACAUUAACACUGCAACAACAACAGCAUAGUGUUAUUCCUCAAGUAGGGUCUUGGGAGGGUAGUGUGUACAUAAACCUUACCCCUACCUCUUGUUUUCGGCGGAUCCUUAGCUUAAGAACACACAUAACAAAGCAGUCCUGAAAAAGGAAUAUCAGAAUUGUAGAAGCCUUGACAAAAUACUAAAGAUAACAUGACGAAGCAUUUUGAAGAAAAGGAACAUCUGCAAGAAAAUAAUACUAUAAUUGAAGUACAAGAAAUAACAAAUAGUAAUAGAAAUCGAAGAACAAUAAACUACAAGAGUAUUGUUACAAUUACUAGCAUGUAAGGUUAAGAGACACAACACUCAACUACCCACUGGCCUUAUACCCUAACAUGUGUCCUCCAUAGCCUCCUGUCUAAUAUCUUGUCCUCGGUAAGCUGAAGUUGAGCCUGUUAAUGUUAGAAUAGGUAAGUUCCAAAUGUAGAUAACAUAUUUGAAGAAUGGAUGUGUAAUGUAUUUGACAUGUAUAAAUAAGUUGUUGCAGUAUUUGACAUGUAUUUGACUGGAAGAAGCAGGAGAAAGGUAGACCGAAGAAGUAUUGGAAAGAGAGGUGAUUAGACACGACAUGGCUCAACUUCAAAUCACCGAGGACAAGAUCUUAGAUAGGAGUCUAUGGAGGACACGAAUUGGGGUACAAGGCCCAUAGAUAGUUGAGUGUUGUGUCUCUUAACCUUACAUUCUAGUAAUUGUAGCAAUACUCAUGUAGUUUCUUAUUCUUCGAUUUCUAUUACUAUCUGUUAUUUCUUGUACUUCAAUUAUAGUAUUAUUUUGUCGCAGAGACUGUUCCUUUUUCUUCAGAAUGCGUUGUCAUGUUAUCUUUAGUAUUUUGUCGUGGCUUCUACACUUCUGGUACUCCUUUUCCCGGACUGCUUUGUUAUGUUUUUUCUUAAGCUAAGGAUCUGCUGGAAUAAUGAGGUAGGGACAAGGUUUGCACAUACACUACCCUCCCAAGACCCCAUUCGUGGAAUUACAUUCAAUAUGUUGUUGUUGUUGCUGCUAUUGUAGUAUUAAGUGUUAAUGUGAGAAGUGGUAAGUUUCAAAUUCAGAUACCAUAUUUGAAGAAUGCAUGUGUAUUGUAUUUGAUACAAAUAAAUUAGUUGUUGUUGUAUUGUCACAUCCAUCAAACAAGUUACGCAAUUCACUAGGAUGUGAAAAUUCUUAAAACUCGACUAUGACAUAAAGUAUGAAAAUACUUUUUUUUUGUGGAAAGUUGCUCUAGCCAUCUAGGACGCUCAAUAAAUCCACAACUAGACUGCUACAACCUACAAGAUUAAGCUUUGGAUAAACCUACCCACCAAGAUUGAAACAAAUUUGCACAAAUCUAUUGAAGUAGCUGAAUUAAACUUGAGAUCUCUACUUGACUGCACAUAAAGUGCAAAAGCGAUUCUUUUGCAUGAGCAAAUAGGAAGCUUCAAUUGCUUUUUAUGUAAAGAUGGGAUUUAGAUGUAUGAAAUAAGAUGAACAACAGUAAGUUCUCUUUAGCUGACAAUACAAGACAGACAAUAUCAACUUAGGAACUAUAAAAAGAAAAGUUGCACCUUGGUAUGGUCUAGCUGUCAAUAAAGUGGGUCGAAAACAAUAGGAGAUGAGCCAUAUAAGGGGGCUCGUUUCACUUGGUUAGCUGCUAGAGAAGCUCUUUUGACUCGGGAAAACCUUAGAAAGAGGCAUAUAACUUUGUUCAAGACAUCAUCUGUGUGGUCAAGAGACAAACAAUUAACCAUAUGUUUUUACAUUGUAAAAUUACACAGCUGUGGGAUAUGUUCAUAAACUUGAAGGGUGUCAGAUGGUCAAUGUUAGACAGUACUGUUGAAGUUCUUGCAAGCUGGAAUGAAGGUGACAUUAGUAAUAGAGAGAGAUGGAAAAUUGUCCCAGCACUAUAUGAAGUGAGAUACGGUGAAAUUUCGGUUUGUCUCACUCUUGAGACCUAUAUUUUGGACAGAUUUUUCUUCAUAACAGUGUUUACAUUUCAAAAUGCACGAAAGAACGAGUAGCUUAUGUUUGUGUCACAGGGCAGAGGAGAAUACUUUGGCACCUACAUAAUGAAAAUUAUGGAUGUCGGCAAGGAAAAGGUCACAGAGAUUUCAGAGGGCGUUUAAGGCUUUCCAAGAAGGAAAUGUUUUGUAAUCAAAUACCGUGUUUUUUUCAUCCAUGGUAUACUAGCAUGCGAAGUUUUGCCUUAUAGCAUAUUUGAUCCAAAUUUCUGUUUGAUUAUGUGUUCUCUAUUUUCAAGGUCUUGAAACUGUAUUAUAAGAACUGGAUUUGAUUAGAUUGAUCAGUGAUUUUGGAGACACCCAUCUUUUUUUCCUCUUUACUGUUGCAUCAGCAGUUUACUCAUUUCAUUUUUGACGGUUUAUACUGUAAAUGCAUGUCAUGUUGACUACCUCGGAGUAUUAUCUCCAUUAUCAGUGGCAUUCAUGGAUCUUCAUCAUACGUUACUCAAGAUACCUCUUCUAACAUGUUUUAACAGUACUUUUUGUAAAAAAAAAAGAUACCUCUUCUAACGUAAUUGUCAAGCCAGGUGAAGGAAGGAGUUGGUCUGGAAUCACUGUUUAUGGUGAAUAAUUUCAGACAUUAAGUUAUCUUGUUUUCUUGCUUUGCUUUAGGCUGCUGUAUUGCAUCGUGAGCUGAUGAUCUUAUGGUUAUGGAAAAGCAGAAAAGGAAAGGAACCCUCUAGUAGACAACCUACACAGAUCAUUUGUAUAUUAUUGCUGCGUUGAUUACGUUCUUCCUUUGCUAAUAGUUUGGAAUAAUAGUUCAACAUGGUUUUGAUCGACUUUUUUUGUCACCUUUUACAAAAGAAUAGUUCAACUUAGUCUUUAAUAUUCGUCUUUCUUCAUUGAUAAGUUUUUCACCAGGUAUGUUACUUUCAGACUCUUCAAAAAUGUUGAUAUGCGGAUCUUCCAAAAAUGCACUACUUUUGGAGGAUCCGACAUGCAUUUGACGGUAUCUUUGAAGAGUUUGAGCAACAUAGGUCACCACCCUGUGCACCGAGCUCUUGAAAAUUCCAUUAUUCAUGAGCUGCAGGCUACAAAGACUUCUUAGAAAUUCAAGAUUUAGGCUAUGACUAUGGCGGAGGAGCUGGACGUAGGCGUGUCUUAACCAAGUUGCCCAAUAAUGUCUAUGCACUGCCUGCCCCUUCAUCAGAUGCCUUUAAAUCCCAGAACAACUGACAGAAUUUCUUAAUCUUGGUAUGUCUGCAUUUUGUUGGUGACCUCUUGCUGUGGGAUUCAAUGGAUGUAUUAUUAACAAUCUUGGGUCAAUUCAAUAUUAGCAUUGUAACUAUGAUACAAGGACAUGCUCAUCCUGUUGUUUAAUGUGAAGACUGAAGAGAAGCACUUCUUCAACUUUGUAGUUGGGUUUAGGGGUUGAGUUGUUAGACCAUCAAAAGAACUAUAAACAUUUUGACGUGCAACGUCAGCUGUCCUUUUGAUAUUUUGGGAUUUGUGUUAGGAGAGUGACUUUUGAUGCAAUUACAUUCAUUGUUUUUUCUUUUUGUAAUAAACUGUAAAUAUUACCAUACCAACACAAGCACCUAAGUUCCUCAACCACCUUAAAGGAAGAGUUUCAAGGCAACCUAAGCCUCAGAGAAAACUAGUUACAAAGCAUGUAGAGAAACCAAGUACAUCUCCUUGCUAAUUUUGACCCACUAUACAUAUGAAUUCUCUCCAGAACACUAGUUUUUAUUUGCCUCAAAACAAAAUCUGUAUGUUAUGCCCCUUAGGGGUCGCUUGGUAGAGUGUAUAAGAAUAAUGCUAAAUAAGGUGUAUUAGUAAUGCUUGUAUUAUUAAUGCAAGUAUUAGUAAUGCCGGUUUAGUUGCACAUUAUUUUUUACACAUUGUUUGGUUCGAUGUAUUAAAAAUAAUAUAUAUUUAUAUAAUUUUUGUAAAAAUAUGUUUGUUGACCAAAUUACCCUUUCUUGAACCCUUCAUUCUACGAGAAUCAAGUCUCGAGAGACCAUAAUAAGUUGGGAAAAAAGGGUUCAGAUCGUGUUGGAUGUAGCUAAUGGACUUCAUUAUCUUCACAAUUUCACCAAACCAGGCUACAUCCACAAGAACAUCAACAUUAGAAACAUUGUCAUUGACAGCAACAUACGAGCAAAGAUUGGAAAUUUCAAUCUUGCUAAAGAAACCGAUACAUCAGGCACGACUUGGGAACUUGUGGGAACAACGGGAUACAUGGCACACAUGAGGGAAGAUGAUGGUUUGGAAAUAGCAUCUACAAUAGCAAACUUAAGCUUAAGAUGCUUGACUCGAGAACCAUCAAAUCGUCCAAGCAUUGAAGAGGGUAUAAAGACUUCUUAGAAAUUCAAGAUUUAGGCUAUGGCUAAGGUGGAGGAAGCAGGACGGAGGUGUGUCUUAACCAAGUUUCCCAGGAAUGGCUAUGCGCUGCCAGCCCCUUCAUCAGAUGCCGUUAAAUCCCAGAACAACUGACGGAAUUUCUGAAUCUUGGUAUGUCUGCAUUUUUGUUGGUGACCUCUUGCUUUGGGAUUCAAUGAAUGUAUUAUUAACAAUCUUUGUGACAAUUCAGUAUUAGAAAUUGUUACUAUGCUACAAGGACAAGUUCAUCCUGUUGUUUAAUGUGAUGAUUAAAGAGAAGCACUAAUUCAACCUUGGAGUUGGGGUUCGGGGUUGAGUUGUAAGACCAUCAAAAGAACUAUAAACAUUUUGACCUGUAACGUCAGCUGUCCUUUUGAUAUUUUAGCAUUUGUGUUAGGAGAGUGACUCGAAUAUCUCCAUUUAUAAUCUUAUUUGUCCUACUAAGCCUCCACAUCCAUCUCAACAUCCUCAUUUCCACAACUUUCAUCUUCUGAAUGUGAGAGUUCUUGAUUGCCAAUUCUCCGUGUCAUACAACAUAGUUGGUCUAACCAUAACCACCAAUCUAUAGAACUUGUCUUUAAGUUUUGGUGGCACCUUCUUAUCACACAAGACCAUAGAUGCGAGCCUCUAUUUCUCCAGACUACAUGAAUGCCAUGUGUGACAUCAUGGUCAGUCGCCCACAACCUUGGAUAAUAGACCCAAGAUGUGGCAAAGAGAACUCCCAACAAAAAAGAUAUAAUUUGAGCACCAUAUUGAAAUCAAAUACUGAUAAAAUUAGACAGUAAAAAUGUAAAAUAAAAGAGAUGCAUUAACAAUAAGCUAGAUAGAGUUGAAUGAAUAAUUCCAAUCCCAUUAUUGGCCAAAAGACGACCACCAAAAUAGCUGAUCAUUCAAAAAUAGAGUGAAGUUGCAAGAUUCCAGCAGUCACACAAAAGAAAAAGAAAACCCUUACAUAGCAUUGUUUUAGAAUUGCAACUAUUUAAGCUAAUCAUCUAGGGUAUCACAAUCAUUUGGAUUUGAAACUUAAGAGGACCAUCCUUUUGCUUCAUGCUUCCUGUGUUCUCUUGUAUCGUUUAACUGAAGUAUCAGGAACAAGUGUGGGCAGAUUCUUUAGCUUAUUCGAAGUUUGAGCAGCUUCGGCCUUAGAUAACAGAGCUUCAUUGACCCUAUUUUCGGCAUUAAUCCAGGCCAUAUCGGCGGCACUAUGGAUAGACUCGGAAGCAAUGGUAGCAGCGGCAACCAUCUGUUUAGCUAAAUGACGGUUGAUUUGAAUGGUGUUGUCAUGAUUUGGAGUAACAUAGAAGAAAGUGAAGUUAGGGUUAGAACAAGGAGGGCACAAGUAACCUUGGGAGGAGGAAGCAGCAUCAGAGACACAAGAGAGGUGUGAGAUAGAGGUGCACUUUGAACACGGGAGACAGAGGUGAGAGGGAGGGGGGUUGUGGAGGAAGACAUCGAAGCAGACAGGACAGAAGGAACCGGGGUGGGAGUCCAGUACACAGGCAGUGCAAAGAUGGCGGUAGACGCCUCUAUAGGGGAGACGGUGGAGGAUGAAGGGGCGUUUGAUGAAGCAAACUGCGCAUUCGCAGCCUUUCAAUGGUUGCUGUUCCACUUGCUUCGGCAUCGGAAUAAGCAAUUUUCUCUAACCCUAAUGGCCAAUCGUAAUCUCAUGUUUAUUUAUACGGACUGAUAUAGGAAAGUUGUUGAGAUUCUAAGUAUCCAACCCCCUCCUUUUGUCUUUUAUUUUCUCUGCAUGCCUUCAUGACUGAUUGAAAUAAAUACAUAUUUCCUUUUUUACAUUAA